UAUCUGCAGUGCAAGGUUAAAUAGGAUGCUUAAGUGAGGAACCUGUGUGAGUGAGGGACACACACACACACACACCCCAUGACAAGAAGCACCUAUUCACACACAAAUACAUGCAUACACUACAAGUUGCUUCUGUCUGAACAUACUGCAUCAUAUUAAGAUCCUACACACACACACGAAAACACAGCAAGCAAUCACCCCACACAUCCAAUAUAUAAUAUAUAUUCUGCCCAUACAGAAUCCAAGCACUAUGACCAUUUCAAAGCACUGAAGUGGUCAUGGUACUUUGAGUAACCCUUUAAUAAAACAAUUAUCUGCUGCUGUCUGAAUUACUGUAUUAGGAACAGAUUACCUCCUUAAACCUCCUAUUCAACAAAAGCACAAUUACAAUGUAUAAGUGAGCAAACCAGAUCUAAACUUAACCUCCAUUCUCUGAUCUGUAAC